rfam:Triticum aestivum genome assembly, contig: Triticum_aestivum_CS42_TGACv1_scaffold_178624_2DS
UCACUACUCCCUCUGUCCCAAAUUUUUGUCUUAGAUUUGUCUAGAUACGGAUGUAUCCAAUACUAAAAUGUGACUUGAUACAUCCGUAUCUAGACAAUCUAAGACAACAAUUUUGGGACGGAGGGAGUACUUU